AGCAGCCGCGGUAAUUCCAGCUCCAAUAGCGUAUAUUAAAGUUGUUGCAGUUAAAAAGCUCGUAGUUGAAUUUCGGGAUUGACGUGAUGGUCGUGCCUUACGGGGUAUGAACUGUUGCUGUUGAUUUCUCACCUUCUGGAGAAACUUGAUGUCCUUAAUUGGGUGUCUUGCGGAUCCAGGACCUUUACCUUGAAAAAUUGAGUGUUUAAAGCAGGCAUUUUGCUCGAAUACAUUAGCAUGGAAUAAUAGAAUAGGACGGCAUGGUUCUAUUUUGUUGGUUUCUAGGAUCACCGUAAUGAUUAAUAGGGAUAGUUGGGGGCAUUAGUAUUCAAUUGUCAGAGGUGAAAUUCUUGGAUUUAUUGAAGACUAACUACUGCGAAAGCAUUUGCCAAGGAUGUUUUCAUUAAUCAAGAACGAAAGUUAGGGGAUCGAAGACGAUCAGAUACCGUCGUAGUCUUAACCAUAAACUAUGCCGACUAGGGAUCGGAUGAUGUUAAUUUUAAUGUACUCAUUC
rnacentral:misc_RNA from 1 species